GGAUGUGAGGGUAAUCUGGCUGCGACAUCUGUCACCCCAUUGACUGCCAGGGUUGAUUCGGCUGAUCUGGCUGGCUAGGCGGGUGUCCCCUUCCUCCCUCACCACUCCAUGUGUGUCCCUCCUGAAGCUGUGCACUUCCCCGAAUAGAGACAGACUGGUCUUCGGUCGAGGGUAUAGGAGUAGCUGCGCUGCCCUGCUAGAACCUCCAAACAAGCUCUCAAGGUCCAAGUUACAGAUGCUACCAUGACUCCACCCCAACUUCUCUGGGCAGAG
ensembl:misc_RNA 7SK 7SK RNA